rnacentral:rRNA from 1 species
CCUACGGGGGGCUGCAGUAGGGAAUAUUGCUCAAUGGGGGCAACCCUGAACCAGCAACGCCGCGUGGAGGAUGAAGGUUUUCGGGUUGUAAACUCCUUUUGUUAGAGAAGAUAAUGACGGUAUCUAACGAAUAAGCACCGGCCAACUCCGUGCCAGCAGCCGCGGUAAUACGGAGGCUGCAAGCGUUACUCGGAAUCACUGGGCGUAAAGAGCGCGUAGGCGGGAUAGCAAGUCAGAUGUGAAAUCCUAUGGCUUAACCAUAGAACUGCAUUUGAAACUGGUAUUCUAGAGUAUGGGAGAGGUAGGUGGAAUUCUUGGUGUAGGGGUAAAAUGCGUAGAGAUCAAGAAGAAUACUGAUUGCGAAGGCGACCUGCUAGAACAUAACUGACGCUGAUGCGCGAAAGCGUGGGGAGCAAACAGGAUUAGAUACCCCGGUAGUC